AACGAACGCUGGCGGCAUGCCUAACACAUGCAAGUCGAACGAUCCCUUCGGGCCUAGUGGCGCACGGGUUCGUAACGCGUGGGAAUCUGCCUUUCUGUUCGGAAUAACUCAGGGAAACUUGAGCUAAUACCGUAUAACGUCGCAAGACCAAAGAUUUAUCACCGAAAGAUGAGCCCGCGUAGGAUUAGCUAGUUGGUGAGGUAAAGGCUCACCAAGGCGACGAUCCUUAGCUGGUCUGAGAGGAUGAUCAGCCACACUGGGACUGAGACACGGCCCAGACUCCUACGGGAGGCAGCAGUGGGGAAUAUUGGACAAUGGGCGAAAGCCUGAUCCAGCAAUGCCGCGUGAGUGAUGAAGGCCUUAGGGUUGUAAAGCUCUUUUACCCGGGAAGAUAAUGACGGUACCGGGAGAAUAAGCCCCGGCUAACUCCGUG
rnacentral:rRNA from 1 species